UCGGCGCUCGUCUAAACGGCAAAGACGCGAGACUUUGAAUCUCGUUAUCCAGGUUCAAGUCCUGGGCGCCGGGCCA
rnacentral:tRNA from 1 species